GAUGAAGAACGUAGCGAAAUGCGAUACGUAAUGUGAAUUGCAGAAUUCAGUGAAUCAUCGAAUCUUUGAACGCCCAUUGCGCCUGCCAGCACUCUGGCAGGCAUGCCUGUUCGAGCGUCAUUUCAACCAUCAAGCCCUAGGCUUGCGUUGGAGCCCUGCGGCUGCCGCAGGCCCCUAAAAGCAGUGGCGGGCUCGCUAUCACACCGAGUGCAGUAGAUUACUCUUCGCUCAGGGCGUGUGGCGGGUUCCAGCCGUGAAACCCCCUACUUCUCAAGGUUGACCUCGGAUCAGGUAGGAAUACCCGCUGAACUUAAGCAUAUCAAUAAGCGGAGGA
rnacentral:misc_RNA from 1 species